rnacentral:rRNA from 1 species
UACGUAGGUGGCAAGCGUUAUCCGGAUUUAUUGGGCGUAAAGGGAACGCAGGCGGUCUUUUAAGUCUGAUGUGAAAGCCUUCGGCUUAACCGGAGUAGUGCAUUGGAAACUGGGAGACUUGAGUGCAGAAGAGGGGAGUGGAACUCCAUGUGUAGCGGUGAAAUGCGUAGAUAUAUGGAAGAACACCAGUGGCGAAAGCGGCUCUCUGGUCUGUAACUGACGCUGAGGCUCGAAAGCAUGGGUAGCGAACAGG